UAUAAAGAUCUUGAUAUAACUAGUAAAUCGCAGUAAAUUAAGUAAUCUUAGAAGCUUCAAACAGUAUCUAGAAUGAGUGAGUCUAAUUAGCUGGCAUUACUACAAUCAAUCUAAAUCAGUUGAUAAUGAUGUUACCGGAUAAAUGAUAACAUGGUUAUCAAAAGGGGAAUCUCCAUGGAGUAUGUAAUUGGUUGUUAUUCAAUUCACUGGAAGUGCACUCAAAUCGAAAAAAAAAGUAUUGUAAUUAAAUUUACAAUUGAAAGUCAACAGAACGCUGUUGGAGAAAUGUACUGAGAAAGAAAAUGAAAAUGGAAGAAAAUAUCCCCGCUAAGUAUGCUGGUCCACUUAAGAAAUGUAAAAAUGUCUUUGGCAGCAAUGAUCCUUUUGAAAAGGCAUUUCUUCUCAACAGCAUAUCGAGCUAGAUUACUUUUCUUCUUAGGUGCAUAGUCCUCAUAAGAGAGAAACAGAUGUCAAAAAAAAUGGUUAUAAAUAGUGGACUAAGAUUUCGACAUAUGAAUGAUGAUCAAACAUUCUGUGAAUAACAGAGCAUUAAAAAAUGUGAUUUUCAAUGUAAUAACCCACAACUCAAUGAAUCCAGCAUUUAUUUAGUUUCAGUUAUUUUUGCGAACACUGGAAGAUAAUUCCUAAUCUGAGGAAGCAGUAUGUAAGAAUUGACGGCAAAGUCAGGGACACAGCAGUGGAAGACAGCGUAAUGGGAUUCGGAGUGAACAGCAGCAGCAAUAAAGCACACGCGAGAACUACGUUUUAGAAUCGUUUAAUAAGUGAUAGAAAACACAACUGAAUGCGGGAAGCGCUACUUUUGGAAUGAAACAAAUUGACUUUCUCCUCUCUCUCGUCUGGCAGUCGGCUCAAGGUAGAGGUGCUCACGAAGGUGCGCACUGUUGAAUGGGAUGUGUGUAGUGGUACACGGAGAAACAUGAAAAUACUAGUUAGAGUGAUAUUUAUUACUUCUACCACAUUUGUGAUUUUUAAUCCUUACAAAUCAUAUUAGUUUAAGCUUUCUCAUGCAUUUUCGUAAAUUAUUUCUGAUGUUUCAUUUAUGUUGACUAACGUUACACUUGGGACUUGGCUAUUUUUGUCUGAUUCAGAUUUGGUUCCCCUCGCUCUCAGUGAGGAACAAUUUUCAAGUGUCUCUGCUUUCGUUAGUUUUAGCUUUGUCGAAAGUUGCUAAUACUGUUCUCACGGAACAAAAUAUUGCAUUUAUUGCAUUGCAGAAGGGGAACAUCCGAUUUCAAAUGUCGGGACAAACCACUGGCCUAUUUGUCAUCUUCCUGGGAACUCAUUCGUGGCAGGAUAAAGUAAUCAACAAGCGAGUCCACAAUUGCAUUGUAAAUCAACCAGAAACAACCGAGAAGGCAGCAGGAGUUUGACGAUUCCACCUUGUUGAAGCAGCAGGUUCUGAGGUCAUCUGCAGAAUAACUCUGUUUACGAAGUCCUUGAAGAACUAUGGAAUAGAGUU